rnacentral:rRNA from 1 species
UCCGACCUGAACUCAGACGUGAUG